AUUGAACGCUGGCGGCAGGCCUAACACAUGCAAGUCGAACGAACCCUUCGGGGUUAGUGGCGGACGGGUGAGUAACACGUGGGAACGUGCCUUUAGGUUCGGAAUAACUCAGGGAAACUUGUGCUAAUACCGAAUGUGCCCUUCGGGGGAAAGAUUUAUCGCCUUUAGAGCGGCCCGCGUCUGAUUAGCUAGUCGGUGAGGUAAUGGCUCACCAAGGCUACGAUCAGUAGCUGGUCUGAGAGGAUGACCAGCCACGUUGGGACUGAGACACGGCCCAAACUCCUGCGGGAGGCAGCAGUGGGGAAUCUUGCGCAAUGGGCGAAAGCCUGACGCAGCCAUGCCGCGUGGAUGAUGAAGGUCUUAGGAUUGUAAAAUCCUUUCACCGGUGAAGAUAAUGACUGUAGCCGGAGAAGAAGCCCCGGCUAACUUCGUGCCAGCCGCCGCAGUAAAAC
rnacentral:rRNA from 1 species